rnacentral:rRNA from 1 species
AUGGCUGGAUGCUGGCCCACAGAAAAUACAGCCCAUGCCCGGCCCAGGCUAUUAUACCAUAGUCCAGGCCCAACUGUUGCGCAUCGCGCCAUGGCCUCCGAGCUCGGGCAACCGCCGCCGGCGAAAUGCCCACCGACGGCGCCCACCACCAUUACCGAUAUCAGCGACGACCUCCUUUGCGAGAUCUUCCUCCUCCUUCCCUCCCUCCCGAGCCUCGUUCGCGCCGCCCUCGCCUGCCGCACCUUCCUCCACGCCGUCCGUUCGUCCCCCGCCUUCCGCCGCCGAUUCCGGGCGCUCCACCGUCCGCAGCUCCUUGGCUUCUUCCGUGAAACCGGCCGGGAAGCCAUCCCUCCCUUCGUCCCCAUCCGCAGAAGCUCCGACCCCGACCUCACCGCGGCCGUCAGCGGUUCCGAUUUCUUCCUCUUCCGCCUCCCCGAAGACAGCGAUUCCACCCCCGGCUGGGAGCUGAGGCGCUGCCACGACGGCUACCUCGUCCUCGCCAACAAUGUCACCGACCAGAUCGCUGCCUACAACCCCCUCACGCAGGCGCUGCAUCUCUUCCCCACGCCGCUCAGGGAGAUCCUCAGCAAGGGUCUGUUCCCCCAGCCACAGCGGCCCAAGGAGAUCCGCAUCGAAGUCCUUGAGUUCCAUAUCCUCUUCUCCGAGGAGGACCAGCGGGUGUUCCGAAUGGCUUGUGUCCAAUUUCGGAACAUUUCGAAGGUGCCGGUGUGUGUUGCUGUCUUCUCACCGGCCACCAGGGAGUGGCAGGUUUUGCCAUGGCCGGCUCCACCACAGCCUGUGGAUGACGACUGGUUCGGCUUUUGCCCUGGUAUGCAGAUGAGUGGAUUCGUUUACUGGAAACACAAGAGUAAAGCCUAUCUACUUGUUCUCGACAACGUGACACUGCAGUUCUCUAGAGUGUAUUUGCCGCAUUUCUUGCGAAAGAUAGACCCUACGCUGUUCAAGCUUGGUCAGACCAAGGAUGGGAAGCUCUGCAUGGUUUGUGCAGAUGACUCCGACGCAAAUAUAGGAACGCUUGUUGUUCAUGUUUGGGGAGCUGAUGAUGACGGUGUUGAGAAAUGGAUGCUGGAAGAUACUUUUCCACUCAGUACAUUUAUUGAUGCCGACAAGUAUUUAACAGAGGAUGAUACCACGGUGCAGAUUGAGGCCGUUAUCGAUGGCUUUGUGUACCUGUCUAUUAAGUAUGAUGAUUAUACUGAGUCCCUCAUAUCCUUCUGCCUGGAAACAGCAGAGCUAAACACGCUCUUUGAUGAUACAUAUGCAAGCCCUGCUUAUCCCUACAUCAUGUCAUGGCCUCCUUCUUUGGUAUGCAACAAGGAGGAUUCACAAACCAAGAUUACUGGAUGCAGUGUAGAAGAUGCUGGUUCUGUGGGCACAGAAGAAACUCCCUCUGCUCUUGUCACAGCGCCGCAAUCACACAAAUUUGCUUGA